AGCAGCCGCGGUAAUUCCAGCUCCAAUAGCGUAUAUUAAAGUUGUUGCAGUUAAAAAGCUCGUAGUUGAAUUUCGGGAUCAAUAUGUUGGUCGUGCCUUGGUACGUACUGGCAUUAUCGAUUCCUACCUUCUGAAGAACCUCGAUGUCAUUAAUUUGGUGUCUUGGGGAAUCAGGACUGUUACUUUGAAAAAAUUAGAGUGUUUAAAGCAGGCUCGCGCUUGAAUACAUUAGCAUGGAAUAAUGAAAUAGGACGUUUGAUUCUAUUUUGUUGGUUUCUAGGAUCGACGUAAUGAUUAAUAGGGAUAGUUGGGGGCAUUAGUAUUCAAUUGUCAGAGGUGAAAUUCUUGGAUUUAUUGAAGACUAACUACUGCGAAAGCGUUUGCCAAGGAUGUUUUCAUUAAUCAAGAACGAAAGUUAGGGGAUCGAAGACGAUCAGAUACCGUCGUAGUCUUAACCAUAAACUAUGCCGACUAGGGAUCGGAUGAUGUAAUUUUUAAUGUACUCAUUCGGCGCCUUAAC
rnacentral:rRNA from 1 species